ensembl:lncRNA
GUAUAAUAACCUAUCAUGUAUCAAGCUGUUCCUCAUAAUGCAGAACUCUUCUCUAAGACAGUGCCGCUUCUCCAAAAUAUGAUGUUUUGCCUAAAGGACAGUGACAGGUGACCAUUGUGAGGAAUAUUAGUAUUGGAUUUCCUCUCUGGGCCACAGGAACGCACUCACGCGCACUCUUCGCCUGGAAUAACACUGACAGGGCGUGUAACAUGUGCCAGCUCUUGCGUUUUUAGCAUGAAACCGAAAAAUAUGGCUUUGUUCAGAGAAACACAUGGUUUCUGGGGUUUUUUUUCUUCUCAGGACCAUUGUUUGGAAAUGUUUGGGAUUGUAUCUUGAAUUCUCUUUCCAUUCUGUCUUGCUCUUUUUAAAAAAAAAAAAAAAAAAAAAAAAAAGUUGCAAGUCCUCACAGGAAAAUUAUAAACAGAUGAGUGGGAUGGGAACAGAUCCUGUGCGUCAGCGACGUAGCAGAGACACCACGCUGAUUCCCAGGCUUUCUGAAGGCAAGCCGAUGCUUGAUGGCACAGAGAACCAGAAAAACUGGUCAGGGCUUUACCGUUAGCUGUCACUCUCACAUAAACACACAUACACCAUACGCCACAGGCAAGCACAUGACACAUACAAGUCCCUGCAGACUCUUCAGCGCCUGGCACAAUCAUCACUCAUCAGCCUUGACGGGCUCUGAGUUUUUAAAAAAAAAAAAAAAAAAAAAACCCCGAAACAUGGGAGUCUGGAUGUUCACACACAUAAUGCUUCGAAUGCGAGCUGUGGUUGUGAAACACUGCGGUCCUGUUGCACAAAGCUACUUGUGGAUGGCGCUCUGGUCCACGGGAUAUCACUCUUGCUGUGUUGCUUUGACAUUCUCUGGCACAAGCACGUCAAGUCCGAAGCUACACAAAGAGUGACCUGACACACUCGUACAAAAGCCUGUACCAACUCUCGAGUCCGGCCUGGUCCUCUCUCACGAAUUAAACCCAGAUCUCCUAUAGUUCAACAGACUGACAGCUCUUUCUGUGUGCCAGCACCCCUUUUCCUCCAAAGGUCCCUCAGGCCAGGAACAUAGGAUUGGUUAAACUGGCGAGUAAGCUCAACAGUCAAACAAGUUCCUCACUUGGCACUCUUCUGCAGCCUUUUAGACACCACAAGGCUCUGACUUGGCAGCAGCGAGCGAACGCAGCAAUUAAGUCGACUCUCUAACGGUUGCCGGCGUCCAUGACGCAAGGCCUGAAUGAAUCACGGGGAAUGAUUCAGAGAUCUCACACUGAGGCAGAAAAUGAGCCAACAGAGGAACAGAGAACGCACUUUACUCAUGAGUGCUGAUGUAUGUCUUGUGGUUUUCAUUCAGCUAAGGACGAAGGCACUUUAUUUGAAAAACUUGGGUCUGCGUUAAAAAAAAAAAGACUAAUAAGUAUCAUUUUUCUAGAAAGCAAUGCAGGAGGAUUUAUCGAAUGCUUAUUUGGGAAAUUCGAAGUUUGUCGGUAAAGGAGACCUUGUAGCCGUACUCACGUUCGACGCGUGUAAAUCGAAGACUGUGAUGAUGUCACACGAUGUGUCUUGGCCCGAAUCUGCGGAAGAUCGGCGGUAAAUUCGCGAGCUCCUCCGAAAAUUGCAGACUUCGCUUGAUUUCGUGAAAUUCUGGAGGGACUGGGGUACGGGCAUCGAUUUAUCACUUCACUUGUGCAGUAACAAGGAAUGAAACCUACACAAAGCAACUGUGUGAUGGAAGGAGCCGGGAUGAGUUAGCCAGGCCUGUUCACGUACAGUCCAUGUGUUUCUGUCAUCAUGGGUAUCAGGUUUGCGAGCUUCCCUCCUCCUCCUCCUGUGCCUUCGAGUGCCGUACCACUAAAUACUGCGAACACCACAGAAUCAUCAGUGGAGAGCAACAGGACAAGUAGAAGGAGAGGGAUUCGAGACUUCACUCAAAGCCAGAACAAAGAGCUCAGAGUCGAGUCAUGGCUCUGAGAAGGAAGCCAGAUUGAAUAUUUCACAUUUCAUCUUUCUGAGUGCUUUGACCUUUAAAAAGACCUCAAACAAUAAGGCAAAGUUUCCCGCCUUCCUUCACCUGUUGCUAAGGCUUUCUCAACACCGAACCACUUAACCGGACUUAAUAAUGACACAGUGAAACCUGUUGCUGUCCAUAGAAAACCAAUAAUAAAAACUCCCUGGCCACUUUUGUGCAAUCCUCCAACUUUAAUUGACCUGCACGUUUCUCCACAAGCCUCUCCCAUAAAAGUCAUCCAGUGGAAAAUACCUCAUACGCAGAAUCGGCACAGAAACCGGGCUUUCCGCAUUGUAAUAGCUGAACACCCAAACCGCAAGGCAAGCAUGCCUUUUUUAAUUUUUUUUAUUCUCCAGCACAGGACCCAUCAUAUUCACAUUGCUCCUUUCUUCUCAUUUCAUCUGUGUCAAAUUCCAUAACGAAAUCCAUCCAUUUCUUCAUUUAUUUGUUUCCUAUAUACGACUUCCAUGAUGACGUUACAUACUUGUG